UAGGAAGCAUAUAGUGAGGUGAACUAUCCAAAUCCAAUCCCAUUUCCAAAAUUAUCAGUAAAUUAUUUUAGAAUAUCUAUUGUUUCAAAAAAAAAAUCUAAAGGUUAUUAACGCGGUACGUUAAUUAUAAGUUCUUAUUCCACAAAAAAGAAAAAAAGAAAAAACAAAUUCUCUCUCAUCAAGACAUCAACAACAUCAACUCUAAAGCAAGGGCACAAAGCAAGCAAAGCUGAGAGAGAGAGAGAAAGAGAGAG
rnacentral:misc_RNA from 1 species